rnacentral:tRNA from 1 species
ACGUUUUUUAAGGAUUUUUGAUAGAGCAUCGGUUUUCUAAACCGAGGGUUGAUGGUUCUAAUCCAUCAGAGCGCGCCA